UGAUCUCCUGACCUUGUGAUCCACCCGCCUCGGCCUCCCAAAGUGCUGGGAUUACAGGCGUGAGCCACCGAAUGCAGCUUUUUAAUGAAUACAGGUAUUUACUGCAUUUUAAAUCCUGUCUUUUGAAUAUUUUGCUAGAUUUGCCAACAGACUUCAUUAAAAAGCAACUCCAGUGUGAAACUUACCUUCCCUAAAUGUUGAUUAAAAUUUUAAGUCAAGUUAAUGAUUUAAUGUAAUAGUUGAGCCACACUUGAAAUAAAGUCCCAGUUUAAAUAAAAAGUGAAUUAUAAUAAUGACUAUUAUUUAGCCCCUUUUUAAUUUGAGGUUUUGCCUACUGCCUCUUUAUUUUGUCAAAAACCCAAACUGCUCUCCAAGGCUGUGUCAGUCCGGUUCCAAAAAUGGUACAUUGCUAUCUUUCGCACUUCAUGCAGUGUGGGACAUAGGGGCUAUGCAGCUAUUUAAAGUUAAGCAAAAACUGCUAGCCUAAUCAGUAAGCCACUUGCUCUGAGCUGCUAGGAGUGCACUGGUACAUCAGCAUUUUUACAACUGUUUCUUUUUCAGUCAAAUAUACCCUUUGGGGAGACAGUUGGAUGUAGUUGGUAAUUCAUAUAUAAAUUAACCAGUGAUUUAAUAGCAACCUAUUCUAAACAACUGAACCACAAAUUGAGUUCAAGGGCCAGCCAUCAUCCAAGCCCUUCUCAGCUACUUAGCUGAACAUCUAUUUUAUACCAGCUUAAGAGGCAGUGAGCGUGAGUGAAAGCAGUCUCUGGAGUCCGGAUCUUGGAUUAGGAGCUUGGCUGAAGACCCCAGCUGUGAGACUUCCUGGGACUUUCACAAAGAAGUCAGCUAAUACAUCAAAAGUACUGAAACAUAGUUUCUGGCAUGUAGCAAGCACUUCAUAAAUGUGAUUUGUUUGUAAGUGACAUGUUAGCACUGUGGUAUGGUCUAGGGUAUGAAUCCAUUUUUCUGCUCUCAAAUAACUUGUACAACACAGCCGAGGCAGCAUUACCACAGAAGAAUAAUUCUUGGCAAAUCUGAGUAUCUCAGUUUUGAAAGUGAUUUUGUAGGUCCCCUAAUGGAACUUAUCAUCUAAAGUGUUUAGAGCAUCCUCAGUAGAUGGCCUUCCGUAACAAAGAGUAUCAAUAAGGGUUCAAAUAUUUGCUCUUGCCAGAUCUUACUUCAUGUGUGGAGCACACUAGUGUACAGGCUACAUGUGUGCCAGGAUCUUGGCCCUUCAUCCCACAGGGUCAGCCUCCUGAAUUUACCUCAAAGUGCUGUAUCAUUUUUAACAUAUGCCUUAUUGUGUAAAAGUGUAGAGAAGCGCUGCUUCUUGUUGUCACAGUUGUAAUUGACUUUAGAAGACACCAGCAAAGAUAGCAUUAUUUGUAUGUGAAUGUUAGAUUAAAUUAUACCACCUGAAGUGAUAUCUAUUGACCUAGUGGGGAAUUUGUACCUCAGGUGUGGUUGCUAGCACCAGGAAACCCACAUCCAUAGGCUUCUCAUUACAAGGUUGUCAUCUUUCCAUCUCAAUCAAUAUCCGAGCCUUUGAGAUUUAGCAUCAUCAACAUCAGAAAUGAAUUUUCAUUGGUGAAAUUAAUGGCAUUCAAGACCUUGGAUUACCUGAAAUAUUUUAAGGAUGCUUGCUAGUCUUACACAACCUGGACAGAAGAAUCUGGCAAGACCUGUAGCCUGUACUUUUAAGAAUGAAGCCCAAAGCUUUAUAUUGAAAGGUCCCAGUGUCCAUUAAUGAGCAGGAUCAUUCUUGGUUACUGGCUGACUGCACAGAAUACUGCCUGGAGAAUGUCGUUUUGUCUGAGCAAACCUUUUAGGCAGGAUAUAAUCAGAUUACCUAAGGAACAAAAAGUUUGGGACAUCAUAUGCAGUCUUUUAUGCUUGUUUGCUAAUUAAUGUUUGUUUAGUAAAUAUCUGUCAAUUUGAAAGAAUUUAGCCUAAGAUUUUCUUUAUUUUAACAUGGUAUUGAGGUUGGGAGGAAUAGCUUACUUUUACUGCAUCCCGCUCCCCAAAAGAACCUGAAAGAUGUAAAUGAUCAAAUUAACUCAAGUUGGCAUGUAAUAUUUCCCAUUUCUCUCACAGUCAAAACCAAAGAGCUUACCAGGGCAGACAUGACUAUCUAACUGCUCUUUCCUCUUGUGUCUCCCUUAUCUCUCAAUCACUUCCUAACACUCACUGCUUAAGCUAACUUGAUUAUACUGGCCUCCUUUUGUCCCUCCAACACAGUCGUCCUUAAAGUGUGAUCGCUGCAACUGCAGCAAUGAUGGCAUUUCUCUGAGAACUUGUUAGAAAUGAAAAUUCUUGACUCCUUCCCUCCAAUCCCCUCAGAACUUCUGAAUCAGAAAAUCAGAGUGGGACCCAGCAAUUACGUUUUAAUAAGCUCUCCAGGUGAUUCUGCAGGUGAUGCUAAAGUUUGAGAAUCACUAACCUAGAUAACUGUGAUAUUAUUUUUGCUGUAACUGAAAUGAGUCAAUAACCAUGACAGAACAAAUGUAGGCCAAGUGUAAUUUCUAAAACUCAGAGUCUUUGUACUUACUCUUUAUUCUACCUGGACUGUUCUUCCACCAGAUGUGGCACGACCGACUCCCUCACCUCUUACAGGUCUUUACUCAAAUUCACCUUCUUAAUGAGGUCUUGCCUGAGCACCCUGCUUAAAUCAGACCUCCAUUAUGACACUCUAUUCUGCCUGCUUAAUUUUUUUCCAUAAUUCCUAUCUUCAUUAUUAUCAUUUACACUGUUGAUCCCCAACCUUUUUGGCCCAAGGGACCGGAAGACAAUUUUUCCAAAGAUGGUGGGAAGGUGGGCAGGGAUGUUUUGGGGAUGAAACUGCCCCGCCUCAGAUCAUCAGACAUUAGAUUCUCACAAAGAGCACACAACCUAGAUCGCUCACAUGCACAGUUCACAAUAGGGUUCAUGCUCCAGUGAAACUGUAAUGUGUAUUGAUCUGACAGGAGGCGGAGCUCAGGUGGUACUGCUCGCUCAUGCCCUGCUUACCUCCUGCUGUGUGACCCGGUUUCUAACAGGCCAUGGACCCCUGUUUGCACUAUAUAUUUUGCUCAUUUAUCUUCUUUAUUGUUUGCCUUUCUGCCUCUCAGAAAAUAAGCUCCUUGUGGGCAGGAUUUUUUGUUUGCUUUGUUCACUAGAGUCUAGAACAGUGCCUGAUAAAUGGCAGCCACUAAGUAUUUGUUAAAUAAAAUAAAUGAAGUGCUAUAUAACUGCAAACAAGAUGAAGUAGAGAUGGAGUGAAAAAAUAUUCAUGAAGUGGUCCAUUUUAGGUGUUUAUUAAAGGAUAACUGAUGAGUCAGUCAUGGCUUUAAAACAAUAACAACAUUGAAUUCUAAAGAAAAUUAAGAUAAAUCAUUGGUUCUAAAGGAUGUUCAAUAAUGGAAAGACAGAUGCUUGACAAAAAGAGUUAGUGUCUCGCCCUAGGUAUUAGAUAGUUCUUUUUAUUAUAUCUCAAUUUAUCCUUUGCUAAUUUCAUUGAUUAGCUAAUUUUUGCUAUGUUAUUAAUAGAGAAUUUCUAAGCUUUAGGAAUAAAAGCAACAAUAAAAUACCACUAUUAUUAAACCUGACUAAGGUUAUACUAACAUUUUCUCUCGGAGGUGUGAUAUUUCCUGAGCUGUGGGUACUCUGCCAGUAAGACACAGUUAUGUUCUUCGGCAAAUUAUUCAAAUUCAUUGAGAUAUUUCAGUCUCUUCACUAUUCUAUGGAAUUACUAGUAGAGGCCUAGAGGAAAAUUUGGAGUCUGAGGCCUCCUAGGCAGUCUCACAUUUUGGAAAAUGAGGCCUAAAUUACAUAGAAUAAAAUACACAGAUGAAUUUUUGACAAAUGUAUGUGCUCAGGUAACCAAAACCCUAUCAAGAUAUAAAACAUUUUUAUUGCCCUAGUGUGUUCUUUGUGUCCUGUUCCAGUUCUCCUCUCUGGGCAACAACUGUUCUGCUGUCUAUCACCAUGGCCUAAUUUUGCCUGUAGAACUAUGGAGGCUCGGAAGUGCAAAAUCAAGGCAGGAGUAUGAUCAGGUUCUGGUGAAGACCUUCUUCCGGACUGCACACUGCUAUCUUCUAAUAUUCUCACAUGGCAGAGAAGCUAUGGAGGCUGGGAAGUGCAAAAUCAAGGCACGAGCAUGAUCAGGUUCUGGUGAAGACCUUCUUCCGGACUGCACACUGCUAUCUUCUAAUAUUCUCACAUGGCAGAGAAGCUGAGCAAUAAUCAGCACAUGCAUGGAAGGAAACUGCCUGAGGCCUGGAACAGAAUCACCUGGAAGGAUAGAGGUAACAGUGUCUGGCAUUCACACAGAGUCAGUAUCGUGCUUGUACCCAGAAAUCAGACUGGGAAAACCUCAUGAUUCAUAAGGCAUUUGGUAGAAUACUCGGAAAGAUCUUGUCUUGGUAGUAGGGGAUAAUUAGCCCGGUAAUAUGAGGACUGUUCUGGCCCCAUUUAAUAAAUCAUGAAACCAAAAUCGGAAAGGAUCAAACUAUUUUCAUACACCUUAACUGUGUCCCAGAACAAGGCUGAUUUGGUUUGGCUGUAUCCCCACCCAAAUCUCAUCUUGAAUUGUAGUUCCCAUAAUCCCCACAUGUCAUGGGAGGGACCCAGUGGGAGGUAAUUUAAUCAUGGGGGCAGUUACUCUCAUGCUUUUCUCAUGAUUGUGAGUGAGCUCUAUGGGAUCUGAUGGUUUUAUGAGGGACUUUUCCCAAUUUUACUUGGCACUUUUCCUGCUGCUGCCAUGUGAACAAGGAUGUAUUUGCUUCUCCUUCCAUCAUGACUGUAAGUUUCCUGAGGCAUCCCCAUCCCUGCAGAACUGUGACUCAAUUAAACUUCUUUCCUUUAUAAA